AGUGGCGGACCCAGGAUUUUCACGAAGUGGGUUCAAGAUAUAAAAAAUAAAUAAGAGAGGUUCAAGUUGAGAGAUGGGGAGAGUUUUUUUCCUUCAACAAAAAAAUAUGCUCAAAAUUUUGGGGGGAAAAGUAAGAGAGGUUCAAGAAGAUUUCAACAAAGAAGAAGAUAAAAGGAUUUUUAGAAUUGAAAAUAAUAGGGAUUAGUGCC
rnacentral:lncRNA from 1 species